GGAGAAAGCCGGAUAGUCGCGCUUAAAAAAGUGAGGAAAGUCCGGGCUUCACAGGGCAGGAUGCCGGAUAACGUCCGGUGGAGGCGACUCUAAGGAAAGUGCAACAGAAAAUUACCGCCGCUUAGCCGUCGGCUAUACGGUAAGGAUGAAAAAGUGAGGUAAGAGCUCACUAAGGCUACGGGAGACCGUGGGCUUGUGUAAACCCCAUCUGAAGCAACACCAACUGAAAAAUUAAGUUUGCCCGACAGUUUUCAACCGGUGGCUUGAGGCUUGAAGUAAUUUGAGUCCCAGAUAGAUGACUAUCUUAAAUGACAGAACCCGGCUUACAAGCUUUCUCUUUUA
rnacentral:RNase_P_RNA from 1 species